AUUGAACGCUGGCGGCAGGCCUAACACAUGCAAGUCGAAUGGUAACAGGAAACAGCUUGCUGUUUCGCUGACGAGUGGCGGACGGGUGAGUAAUGUCUGGGAAACUGCCUGAUGGAGGGGGAUAACUACUGGAAACGGUAGCUAAUACCGCAUAACGUCGCAAGACCAAAGAGGGGGACCUUCGGGCCUCUUGCCAUCAGAUGUGCCCAGAUGGGAUUAGCUAGUAGGUGGGGUAACGGCUCACCUAGGCGACGAUCCCUAGCUGGUCUGAGAGGAUGACCAGCCACCCUGGAACUGAGACACGGUCCAGACUCCUACGGGAGGCAGCAGUGGGGAAUAUUGCACAAUGGGCGCAAGCCUGAUGCAGCCAUGCCGCGUGUAUGAAGAAGGCCUUCGGGUUGUAAAGUACUUUCAGCGGGGAGGAAGGGAGUAAAGUUAAUACCUUUGCUCAUUGACGCUACCCGCAGAAGAAGCACCGGCUAACUCCGUG
rnacentral:rRNA from 1 species